rnacentral:rRNA from 1 species
AAUCAACGCUGGCGGCGUGCCUCAGACAUGCAAGUCGAACGAUUAAACUUUCCUUCGGGAAAGAUAUAAAGUGGCGCACGGGUGAGUAACACGUAAGUAAUCUACCUUCGAGUGGGGAAUAACGUUCGGAAACGAACGCUAAUACCGCAUAAUGCAGCGGCACCUAAUGGUAACAGUUGUUAAAGGAGCAAUUCGCUUGAAGAGGAGCUUGCGGCAGAUUAGCUAGUUGGUAAGGAACGGCUUACCAAGGCUACGAUCUGUAACCGGUCUAAGAGGACGGUCGGUCACACUGACACUGAAUAACGGGUCAGACUCCUACGGGAGGCAGCAGUCGGGAAUUUUGGGCAAUGGGCGCAAGCCUGACCCAGCAACGCCGCGUGAAGGAUGAAGUAUUUCGGUAUGUAAACUUCACAAGAAUGGGAAGAAUAAGUAGGGGACAAUACCCCCUAUGAUGACGGUACCAUUUGUAAGCUCCGGCUAACUCCGUGCCAGCAGCCGCGGUAAC